rnacentral:rRNA from 1 species
CAGUCGCCACGGUAAUACAGAGGGUGCGAGCGUUGUCCGGAAUUAUUGGGCGUAAAGAGCUUGUAGGUGGUUUGUCGCGUCUGCUGUGAAAAUCCGAGGCUCAACCUCGGACUUGCAGUGGGUACGGGCAGACUAGAGUGUGGUAGGGGAGACUGGAAUUCCUGGUGUAGCGGUGGAAUGCGCAGAUAUCAGGAGGAACACCGAUGGCGAAGGCAGGUCUCUGGGCCAUUACUGACACUGAGAAGCGAAAGCAUGGGGAGCGAACAGGAUUAGAGACCCCUGUAGUCCCUGUCUCUUAUAC